rnacentral:rRNA from 1 species
UCGAGGAUAUUUAGCAAUGGACGAAAGUCUGACUAUGCUACGCCGCGUGAGGGAUGAAGGUUUUCGGAUCGUAAACCUCUUUCGAUGGGGAAGAAAUGCCUGUCAUAAAUAGUGGCAGGAGCUGACGGUACCCAGAGAAGAAGCCACGGCCAACUCCGUGCCAGCAGCCGCGGUAAUACGGAGGUGGCGAGCGUUACUCGGAUUCAUUGGGUGUAAAGGGCAGGUAGGCGGCUAUGUAAGUUGGGGGUGAAAUCCUUUGGCUCAACCAAAGAACUGCCUUCAAGACUGCACAGCUUGAGACUAGAAGAGGAGAGCGGAAUUCCCGGUGUAAGGGUGAAAUCUGUAGAUAUCGGGAGGAACACCAGUGGCGAAGGCGGCUCUCUGGUCUAGUACUGACGCUGAUCUGCGAAAGCUAGGGGAGCAAACAGG